AUUGAACGCUGGCGGCAGGCCUAACACAUGCCAGUCGAGCGGAUGAAGGGAGCUUGCUCCUGGAUUCAGCGGCGGACGGGUGAGUAAUGCCUAGGAAUCUGCCUGGUAGUGGGGGAUAACGUCCGGAAACGGGCGCUAAUACCGCAUACGUCCCGAGGGAGAAAGUGGGGGAUCUUCGGACCUCACGCUAUCAGAUGAGCCUAGGUCGGAUUAGCUAGUUGGUGGGGUAAAGGCCUACCAAGGCGACGAUCCGUAACUGGUCUGAGAGGAUGAUCAGUCACACUGGAACUGAGACACGGUCCAGACUCCUACGGGAGGCAGCAGUGGGGAAUAUUGGACAAUGGGCGAAAGCCUGAUCCAGCCAUGCCGCGUGUGUGAAGAAGGUCUUCGGAUUGUAAAGCACUUCAAGUUGGGAGGAAGGGCAGUAAGUUAAUACCUUGCUGUUUUGACGUUACCAACAGAAUAAGCACCGGCUAACUUCGUG
rnacentral:rRNA from 1 species